rnacentral:rRNA from 1 species
UAAACUAGGAUUAGAUACCCUAUUAUUAAAAAUGAAUUUUUAAAUACUAAAUUAGUAUUAGUUAUGUUCUUGAAAAUUAAAAAAUUUGGCGGUAUUUUAGUCUUUUCAGAGGAACCUGUCCUGUAAUCGAUAGUCCACGAUUAAAUAUACUUUAUUUAUUAGUUUGCAUAUCGUCGUAGUUAAAAUAUUUUAAUAGAAUUAUUAAUAUUUAAAAUUUUUAAUUAAAAAAUAGAUCAGAUCAAGGUGCAGUUUAUAAUAAAGAAGAGAUGGGUUACAAUAAAUUUAUUUAAGGAAAAUUUUUAUUAUAAGGAAUUUGAAUAUGGAUUUGAAAGUAAUUUUAUAAUUUUACUAAAAUGAUUAAAGCUCUAAAAUAUGCACACAUCGCCCGUCGCUCUUAA